AUCCAUGUCUUCACCAUAUUUUCUCGGUAUGGAAUCCUGCGGGAUCCCAUACAAUAGAUAUUGUUUUGAAGAGCAACAAUCUCCAAGUGACACCAUCUGGAACCUACCACUGCAAAGCAGUGCCUCUCACUUCCAACACCUAUAAGCGCUUCAGGAGGAUACCAUGAAAUUCAGUGAAGACUUCUGUGGCAUGCAGAUGCAGCGAUGAGAAAAGGUUCACCCUCUGCAUUUCUGCUUAGCAAGUCCUAGGAGCUCUGCAAGUGAAACCAGUUUGCACAAAUAAAGGGGAAACUUUGCACAGUAGUCAAAGAAAAAUAGAGUGAACUCCAGAUUUACUGUAUAUAUUCAAAGAGGAUAGCCACAACUAUGUAUUAUACUCUAGAAGGGAUCUAAAGUACACCACCAUCCCUGUUUUAAGGAUACAAACUCUUCUGAAAUGAGCCAAUAUACUACCAGCUUUUAAUGUAACUUCUGCUAGCCACUGAAAUCAUGAACUUUCUGCUGGUUUUUUUGGUGUAGAAAGCAACUAUAAUCUAAUUCCUAAAACAGACAGUGCUAUUUGUAGCUAUUUCUACUUUUUGUCUCUUACCUGGCUAUUGAACCUAUUUUGUAUUUUGCAAAUCUUCCUGCUCAGUGAUGAGGGGACAAAAAACCCAUCAAUUUUAUGUCAACAGGCUCACUCAGCUCUCUUCUGAAGUUGUUUUUAGAAGACAAAUAUUUUUAAUGUAGUCGAUUACAGUCUAUCUA